rnacentral:rRNA from 1 species
UGGGGAAUAUUGGACAAUGGGGGCAACCCUGAUCCAGCCAUUCCGCGUGAGUGAUGAAGGCCUUAGGGUUGUAAAGCUCUUUCAACGGUGAAGAUAAUGACG